rnacentral:lncRNA from 1 species
UACAACACAGACCGACACAUGGGGGAAUGUGCAAGCCGCGUUUCUCCAGUGAGUGACAAACAAACGCUCAGCAUCAUGUGCACCGACCGUGUCAAGUUGUAAAAAACAUACCCAGGGGUGCCGAAAAGGCCGUGGAUUACCCUUCACAAACAAUGACUUGGAUUAACGCAGUGGAUUAAUGUGUCAACGAAAAUCUACACAGUAUAACUGGACUUCAGGAGGAAGUAAAUUCAGAGGUGUGCUGCCUACUGUGUUUUGUGUUGUUAGUGUGUAAAUGUGUUCUGGGACAUGCCUCCAUGUUGUGCGCUGCCAGUGCAUUGUGGGCCUUCUCUAUAUGAAAGUUACAACAAGGACCCGAACUUGAACCUUUGGCCCAAUCCAGCGUCUCGUCCUUCACCCACUGCUUUGUUCAGCUACAGCAACUGCCGACGAGACCUGCUUGGUCCCACCACUUCGAAGCAUCCGACAUGAGUCCACUAACACAAACCCAAGAUUCCUGCAGCUUUAAUCGUCUUCAGUCGCAGCAGUCUUUUUCGUCAUCAUCAUUUUCACCAUUGCUGUCAUCAUCAUCUUCAGCGUGUUGUCGUUCACCCAGGUUGGAUUACCUUGAACCCCCUACCAAAAUCAACCCCUUGAUGCCCUGUGAAUAUAAUGUGUUCAUGUGCAGGUUUGAGCCACUCAGUGAUACCUGCGCGAGUACGGCCGGCCUCAACACGCUGCUUUACGCGUCUGCUGCUCCUCAGUCUCUGCGUCCUGCUGGCCCAGAGCCCCAGACCUGCCCGAUCGGUGCCAGUCACAGCGUUCUUUCCUUUUGGUACGGCUACCGGAGAUAACAUGACGGAGCGAU